UACGGAGGGUGCAAGCGUUAUCCGGAUUCACUGGGUUUAAAGGGUGCGUAGGUGGGCAGGUAAGUCAGUGGUGAAAUCUCCGAGCUUAACUUGGAAACUGCCGUUGAUACUAUCUGCCUUGAAUAUUGUGGAGGUGAGCGGAAUAUGUCAUGUAGCGGUGAAAUGCUUAGAUAUGACAUAGAACACCAAUUGCGAAGGCAGCUCGCUACACAUAUAUUGACUCUGAGGCACGAAAGCGUGGGGAUCAAACAGG
rnacentral:rRNA from 1 species